ACAUGCUUACAAUGUAGUGUUAAUGCAUUGGAUCCCAUUAGAACUCCACAUUUAAACACGCUCAAGCUAGAGUAGUAUUGGGAUGGGUGAUCACUUGGGAAGUCCUAGUGUUUUACAUGCC
rnacentral:rRNA from 1 species